AGUGAACGCUGGCGGUAGGCCUAACACAUGCAAGUCGAACGGCAGCACAGUAAGAGCUUGCUCUUACGGGUGGCGAGUGGCGGACGGGUGAGGAAUACAUCGGAAUCUACUUUUUCGUGGGGGAUAACGUAGGGAAACUUACGCUAAUACCGCAUACGACCUACGGGUGAGAGCAGGGGAUCUUCGGCCCUUGCGCGGUUCAAUGAGCCGAUGUCGGAUUAGCUAGUUGGUGGGGUAAAGGCCCACCAAGGCGACGAUCCGUAGCUGGUCUGAGAGGACGAUCAGCCACACUGGAACUGAGACACGGCCCAGACUCCUACGGGAGGCAGCAGUGGGGAAUAUUGGACAAUGGGCGCAAGCCUGAUCCAGCCAUACCGCGUGGGUGAUGAAGGCCUUCGGGUUGUAAAGCACUUUUGUUGGGAAAGAAAAGCAGCAUGUUAAUACCCCGCUGUGCUGACGGUACCCGAAGAAUAAGCACCGGCUAACUUCGUG
rnacentral:rRNA from 1 species